UACAGAGGUGGCAAACGUUGUCCGGAUUUAUUGGGUGUAAAGGGCAUGUAGGUGGUUUUGUAAGUCAAAGGUGAAAUGGCCCGGCUUAACCAGGUCAUUGCCUUUGAAACUGCAGGACUCGAGUGCGGAAGAGGAAAGCGGAAUUCCCAGUGUAGCGGUGAAAUGCGUAGAUAUUGGGAGGAACACCGGUGGCGAAGGCGGCUUUCUGGUCCGAUACUGACACUGAGAUGCGAAAGCCAGGGGAGCAAACGGG
rnacentral:sRNA from 1 species